UGAUUUCCUCUCCUGCUGUCCUGUCUUCUAAAGCAGUCUGAAAUGAAAUCUGCCCCCAGAGCUGUGCACAGAGGAAAUGGAGAACAGAUCAUUCAAGAAGGAACACCCCACCCGCAAGCCGUGCUAGACUCGCAUGGAGCCCUCCUUGAUGUGAGCACAAGGGACCUCCAUGCUCCUACUUCUGCUGGUCUCCAUUUCACCAGGCGCCUCCCUCCGACUUCCAAUUGGCCACAAGCUUCGUCGCUCUCUCUCAAAGCAAUUUUGUGUGUGAGUAUAGUCAGAAGGUGAGUUCUCACUUUCGUGUCCCUCCAUAUUCUGCCAGCUCCUGGAUUUCCAGACCUCAAGCAUCAGAGACCCAGUGUCCCUGGACUCCCUCGACUCCCCAGGCUGCUCCCAGCCAUCACACACUCUCUGAAAUGGUGACCCUCAACUCCCAGGUUCACCUUUUUCCCAAAGGCACUGCUCAUAGGCCUAGGAUUUGGCCGUGUGACUGAAGUAGAGAAAACAAAGCCAGGGGACAUUCCUUCUCUUCCCCAAUGUUGGGACCUCCAAGAUGCUGGGUCUACUGGGAUUUGGCAGUGAAUUCCAUCUGCCUAUUCUUGGUGCAACAGACCUUCUCACUGGUUUCCACUGCCCACACAUUUAACGGGUGCUAGACAAAGACAGGGGCCAGAAGCAGGGGCAGUGGCACCCAGGGCUCCUUCCCUCCCUACCUCCCUCCCUUCCUCCCUCCCUCAGGCCACUUGUGUGGGGCCACAUGAGACUUCUCUAAAGUUAGACACACCAGCAGAUGGGUACUGGGGGAGAGGAAGGCACACAGGUGUCACAGCCAACUAGCACCUCUGGUCCUCCCACUCUUCCCCUCCCCUCCAGGCCUCCACCUCCAGUAGUAACAGAAAAACACUGCAGAAACCCAACAGUCAAAGAAUGAGAAGUGUUGUCUUACAACUUCUGGUUCUACCCCAAGUCGGGUUUGUCCUUCAUGAUCUUGGAUUUAGUUGAGUGAAAAGGGGAAAGUACCUAGAUUCACACAGGACUACUGGCUGAUGUUGUGGCAUUUUGUUUAUCUGAGCUUGCAUAAUGUAAUGCACAUUUGAGGAGGCGGUAGGGAUAUUCCCGUAAUUUCCUAGAGGAUGAAUGUCAAAGCUAAAGCUAAACCAAGGUGAAUGUAGUUUAUAUAAAGAAUAGCCCCACUAACAACUGAGAGGAAAAUGCUGAUCCCGGGAAGAAUACUGCAACAAGCACUAAUGGAUAACAUACAGAAAUAAUGCUUUAAUAAUGCAUGCGAUCAUGUUUUUAUUAACAAAGAAAGUCUUGUUUCAAAACAAAUACAUCCUUGAGAGGAGUCUGAAAUUAAUCCCCAAUAGGCAGAAAUCCACAUUAUUAUAUAUUCUAAUUAUAAUUACAACCUGCUCUUAAUAUGAACAUUCUAAAUUAUUAGUCACUUUAUUAAGAACCAGAAAGAGGACUUCCUGCUGCAUAAUGAGAAGUACUCACAAGCUUCGAGAAUGAGAAAAGCAAGAGACAAUUCUGCACAGAGCUGGAAAGUAGUGGAUGUAAUUUAUUUAAUAAAAGUGCCUCCUUUCUCCUUUUUUGUUUAGGAAUUGGUACACCCUUAGGGGUUCAGACAGCACCAAGGCUUCAGAGCUGCACUUUCUAGGGCAAGACAAAAAUGUGUAUCACAGAAAAAUAACGAUUUAUCAUUGUAACAGUUACAUCCCACUACGGAAACCACCAGAGACUGCUUAACAUUUUUAUUUCAAACACGGUUUUCCCUAGUUUUCAGGUGACAAACGGAGACAGAUGCCAGAAGGUGUUUUUCCAUUUGUUCCUAAUAAAAAUGGCUAAAUUCUGAGUUCAUUGUCAUCUGGGGUGACAUUAAGACUGUGCUUUAGGCCGGGGACGGUGGCUCACGCCUGUAAUCCCAGCACUUUGGGAGGCCGAGGUGGGCAGAUCACGAGGUCAGGAGAUUGAGACCACCCUGGCAAACACAGUGAAACCCCGUCUCUACUAAAAUACAAAAAAUUAGCUGGGUGUGGUGGCGGGCACCUGUAGUCCCCAGAGUAGUGAGCAGAGAUCAUGCCACUACACUCCAGCCUGGGCGACAGAGCGAGACUCCGUCAAAAAAAAAAAAAAAGACUGUGCUUUAACAGACUGAUCCUUCUCUUCCUUCCUAUGCAUUCUUCCUUCAAAAGGCUCCAAAGGCAACAUCUGGGUCUGGUCACUGAAGACAGAUGGGCUCCUUCUACUUCUUCUCCCAUCCCCUGGAGGCCUCUGCCAGAGGCUCUGCGGUUUCUGCGGGGCCUGGAGAUCCACAUGUAAAAUCCCUGCUGUAACACAGUGCUUUGUGCUCCGGUGGAAAAACAGCGCUGCUGAAAGCCUCUACCCAUGUAUAAUUUAGCAACAUCACCUGGGGCCGCAGGCACAGUUUGGAGGACAAUGUCAUGGGUGCCUCGGGAUCCACACCUAACUGGGGCAUCUCAUGACAAUCGAGGGAAAGGAUAAUGUCUGCUUUGCUCCCUGAAUUGAUAUCUCUCUGCACUGGUGUCACAAUUACAACUGAAAGGGUGUGGCAGAUGCAUGCAACUCUCAGGGAACAGCCUGCAGCAGAACAUCUUGGCAGGGGGAGGACAAGAGCUGGCCAGACACUUCUGGAAGUUCUGGAAGGAGAUGCUGAAGCUCUACCCAUUCCACUGUAAAGGACAACACCAGGAAAUCCCAGUUAAUAUGGUUUAACCUCCUAAUCAUGCACCGACUAUCCCCCACCAUUGCAUGGGAGGCAGAGAAGAAUAAAACACUGUGCACAUGUGUCCAAAUAGAAUCAAGGGCACUUUUUAAUUGCUUUUUUUUUUUAAACUCAAUGUGUAGAGUAAGUUUUUCACUGGCCUGAUCAAAAGAAAACCAGGGACAGAAAACUAACUGGCUGUGCAAUGCAGACCCCUGCCUGAAGAAGGGACUUCAGGUGGGAAACUUUGCAGAAAGCCCUGUGCAAAGCUGGCUACAACUGCACCCCUCAGAGUAUGAGGAAAAAGGAAAAAAAACCACAACAAGUUCAAGUGAAGAGGAAAGGCCCCUUGAAGGCCUACCAGCCAGCUCCCAAGUGCUCUUCCUUAUAUGUCAAUAUCUUGGUGCUGUUGCAGGACAUUGGAGCAGGCUCAGUGUAACCUCACCCCUGCUGGCAAGAGGCUCCCUGGCCCCACCUCCAGACCCGCCCCAGGCAGGAAGAAGAGCACCCAGGUCUUGGGGCAUGCUGAUGGAAAGGCAGCAUUCCUAGAAUAGGAAAGCAACUGACUGAGAAGCCUCUGUCCCCUUGAAUUAGAGUUUAUUGGUAGGAAAUAAGAGGCUGAAGCCAACUGCGGGCUUCACAGUGAUCCUCACGCCCAGAUGGGCUGACCUAGGAGCAGUAUAGGCUCUACACACCAUUCUGCUGUCAAGUGGUCAAAAUGAACGCAUCAGAAGGUCAAAUUCUGGCUCGGCCUCCAAGUGCAGAGACAGCAUUAACUUCGAGAGUAUUGCUGGCAACCAUUAUAACCCUCUAAUUGCCUAUGCAAUGCACAAGAUUUUAAAAUAUAUGUAUUGCACAAACAAUAUUGUGAAACAACAGAAAUCAACUCUCUCAUCUUAAAAAAACCUUAAUACGAGGUUCCAGGAGGGGAUUUAAAAAAUGAUAUGGCUGUUCUUUGCUUCAGGCAAUAAACAUGCUACUGAAAACCUAUGUGUAAAUACAGUCUUAUGCCAACUAAGUCCUUCUUAAAAAUGCACCAGAAAACAGGCUCUGUUUUAAGCACUUAAUUGUAUUUGCUCAUUAAGUCUUCAGAAGCUCUGGAAGUAGAUUUUAUUAAGAUCUUCAUUUUGCAGGUAGGAAAUUGCAACACAGAAAUGUUCAGUAACUUGGACAAGGUUGCAGAGCUGAGUUGGAACAGGGUGCCCAGGCCUCUGAGCCCACAUCCCUAACCAUGGGCUACACUGCCUCCCAAUGGACUGAGAGUGAGUUAGUUCCCUGGCAAAACCUGCCCCUCCCAAGCAUGCUGUUUAUAAAGAUGGAUGAUCACACAUGGUCACAUUUAAUAUCAACAACAUCCCAUACUUAAAUCUUUGAAUGAAAAGAUAUGACUAUUUCCUGAUAAAGCAUCACACAGCUAAGACAAAGAGCUGAAUGCAUAAAGAAGUUUCCCCAUAUCCAUUCGCCUUUCUUUUCUUGAAAAGCCUCAAAUAGAUUUGGGCAGCCAUACAGCCAAUUAAAAAAAUACUUUCCUGCAGAGGAUCUACAAAAAAUGUCAGCUAACAUCAUACUUAAAGGUAAAGGCUGAGUGCUUUCCCCUUAAGUUCAAGUAGAAGAUGAGGAUUCUGUUAUCAGCACUUCCUUUCAACACCAAAAUGGAGAUUCUAGCCAGGGCAAUAAGGCAAGAAAAGGAAAUUAAAGGAGAUUAAAAAGGAAUAAGUAGGCCAGGCACAGUGGCUUAAACCUGCAAACCCAGCACUUUGGGAGGCCGAGGAGCUCAGAGGGCUGAGGUGGGAGGAUUGCUUGAGCCUGGGUAUACUGAGCCAAGAUCAUGCCAUUGCACUCUAGCCUGGGUGACACAGUGAGACCCUGUCUCAAAAAAACUCCAAAACAAACAAAAAGGAGUAAGUAAGACUGACUCCACUCAAAAAGACAUGAUUGUCUAUGUAGAAAAAUCUUAAGAAAUAUUUAUUUAUUUAUUUAUUUUUGAGACAGGGUCUCACUCCUGUCACCCAGGCUUGACUGCAGUGGCAUGAUCAUGGCUCACUGCAGCCUUGACCUCCUGGGUUCUUGCAAUCCUCCCAACCUCAGCCUUCUGGGUAGCCGGGACUACAGGUGCACAACACCAUGCAUGGCUAACUCUUCUGAAUUUUCAGUAGAGAUAGGGUCUUGCUGUGUUGCUGGAUCUGGUCUCAAACUCCUGGGCUCGAGUGAUCUGCCAGCAUUGGCCUCCCAAAGUUGCUGGAAUUACAGGUGUGAGCCACUGUGCCCAGCCUAAGAAAUAUAUAAUAAAGCUGUUAGAGAAAUAGGAGCACAGGAGAACCAAGGUGACAUCAUUUUAAAAUCAACUCCAUCUUAAAACUAGCAAGGCACAUUCCUUGCCAGUCAUGAACCAUGGUCAUAAGAUGUUUACAGUUGAGAAAACAGCUUAAAUGUACCUGAAAGAACACAAUCUUACAACAAAGGAAAGUCCAGAUGUCCCAAUAACCAUAACGAUAUAUGAUUUUAAGAUAAUUAUAUUUAUGCUUUGAGGUACUUAUUCAAUAAAAAAAACAAGGGGCCAAGUGCGG
rnacentral:lncRNA from 1 species